rnacentral:rRNA from 1 species
GAAUAUUGGGCAAUGGACGGAAGUCUGACCCAGCCAUGCCGCGUGCAGGAAGAAGGCCUUCUGGGUUGUAAACUGCUUUUAUCUAGGAAGAAAAAGCCCAUGCGUGGGAAACUGACGGUACUAGAUGAAUAAGCACCGGCUAACUCCGUGCCAGCAGCCGCGGUAAUACGGAGGGUGCAAGCGUUGUCCGGAUUUAUUGGGUUUAAAGGGUGCGUAGGCGGCUUAUUAAGUCAGUGGUGAAAGCCAACAGCUCAACUGUAGAACUGCCAUUGAUACUGAUAAGCUUGAGUACAGACGAGGUAGGCGGAAUUGAAGAUGUAGCGGUGAAAUGCAUAGAUAUCUUCAAGAACACCGAUUGCGUAGGCAGCUUACUAGGCUGUAACUGACGCUGAGGCACGAAAGCGUGGGGAGCGAACAG